rnacentral:misc_RNA from 1 species
CAACUUCCACCUGGCUUACCUCCNUCAGUUAUGCGUCAUGACUUGUAUCGUCUUGAGCGUAUUGUGGGUUUCCUGUGUUGCAUACCUUUCUAAUGGUAUCGUGUUGAUUGAUCGAAGUCCCUUUUCAUCUUGUGUUGCUUUUUGCGACGCAUGAUGAACAUCGAGGCGCUCUCUAUGUUCCACCACGUUGAUGCUAGCGUUUUGAUGUUGUGGCCCAUUGAGUGUUGCUUGGUUUCGUGGAUACAGAACAUGAUUUGGGCAUAGGGUUACUUGUGACUCUUGUUUUGUCCUUUAUCUGUGUUCUUUAUAACGACAGUUCAUGUGCGCCUAGGCUCGUACCUGCGUGAUGUUCUUUGUCGAAGAGGAAUGCUACCUGGUUGAUCCUGCCAGUAGUCAUAUGCUUGUCUCAAAGAUUAAGCCAUGCAUGUGUAAGU